GUCGAUGACCAAAUCACCUGGAAUUCACCUGAUCCCUUCAGAUCUUGGAAGCUAAGCAGUGUUGACCCUGGGUAGUGCUUGGAUGGGUAACCACGAUGCACUACAUGUUUUGGGACAGCAGAGGCCAUUGCAG
rnacentral:rRNA from 1 species